rnacentral:rRNA from 1 species
GUGCCAGCAGCCGCGGUAAUACGUAGGGUGCAAGCGUUAAUCGAAAUUACUGGGCGUAAAGCGUGCGCAGGCGGUUUUGUAAGACAGUGGUGAAAUCCCCGGGCUCAACCUGGGAACUGCCAUUGUGACUACAAGGCUAGAGUGCGGCAGAGGGGGAUGGAAUUCCGCGUGUAGCAGUGAAAUGCGUAGAUAUGCGGAGGAACACCGAUGGCGAAGGCAAUCCCCUGGGCCUGCACUGACGCUCAUGCACGAAAGCGUGGGGAGCAAACAGGAUUAGAUACCCUGGUAGUCCACGCCCUAAACGAUGUCAACUGGUUGUUGGGAAUUAACUUUCUCAGUAACGAAGCUAACGCGUGAAGUUGACCGCCUGGGGAGUACGAUCGCAAGAUUGAAACUCAAAGGAAUUGGCGG